rnacentral:rRNA from 1 species
CUACGGGUUGCACCAGUGAGGAAUAUUGUACAAUGGGGGGAACCCUGAUGCAGCAACGCCGCGUGGAGGAUGACGCAUUUCGGUGUGUAAACUCCUUUUAUAUGUCAAGAAAAUGACGGUAGCAUAUGAAUAAGCACCUGCUAACUCCGUGCCAGCAGCCGCGGUAAUACGGAGGGUGCAAGCGUUAUUCGGAAUCACUGGGCGUAAAGGACGCGUAGGCGGGUUGGAAAGUCAGGUGUGAAAUCCUACAGCUUAACUGUAGAACUGCACUUGAAACUUCUAAUCUAGAGUAUGGGAGGGGGAGAUGGAAUUAGUGGUGUAGGGGUAAAAUCCGUAGAUAUCACUAGGAAUACCUAAAGCGAAGGCGAUCUCCUGGAACAUUACUGACGCUAAGGCGUGAAAGCGUGGGGAGCAAACAGGAUUAGAUACCCCCGUAGUC